rnacentral:rRNA from 1 species
GGUUAAGCGACUAAGCGUACACGGUGGAUGCCCUGGCAGUCAGAGGCGAUGAAGGGCGUGCUAAUCUGCGAUAAGCGCCGGUAAGGUGAUAUGAACCGUUAUAACCGGCGAUACCCGAAUGGGGAAACCCAGUGUGAUUCGUCACACUAUCAUUAACUGAAUCCAUAGGUUAAUGAGGCGAACCGGGGGAACUGAAACAUCUAAGUACCCCGAGGAAAAGAAAUCAACCGAGAUUCCCCCAGUAGCGGCGAGCGAACGGGGAGGAGCCCAGAGCCUGAAUCAGCAUGUGUGUUAGUGGAAGCGUCUGGAAAGGCGCGCGAUACAGGGUGACAGCCCCGUACACAAAAGCGCAUGUGCUGUGAGCUCGAUGAGUAGGGCGGGACACGUGGUAUCCUGUCUGAAUAUGGGGGGACCAUCCUCCAAGGCUAAAUACUCCUGACUGACCGAUAGUGAACCAGUACCGUGAGGGAAAGGCGAAAAGAACCCCGGCGAGGGGAGUGAAAAAGAACCUGAAACCGUGUACGUACAAGCAGUGGGAGCCCCACCACUAAGCCAGUGGUGAACUCCACAUACGCAUCCUUUGCUGAGGAUACGGUUAACGGAGCGAAAGCGACGUUCAACCUCAAAAGAAGCAGAGGGGGCUUAGUGGUGGGGUGACUGCGUACCUUUUGUAUAAUGGGUCAGCGACUUAUAUUCUGUAGCAAGGUUAACCGUAUAGGGGAGCCGGAGGGAAACCGAGUCUUAAUUGGGCGUUAAGUUGCAGGGUAUAGACCCGAAACCCGGUGAUCUAGCCAUGGGCAGGUUGAAGGUUGGGUAACACUAACUGGAGGACCGAACCGACUAAUGUUGAAAAAUUAGCGGAUGACCUGUGGCUGGGGGUGAAAGGCCAAUCAAACCGGGAGAUAGCUGGUUCUCCCCGAAAGCUAUUUAGGUAGCGCCUCGUGAAUUCAUCUCCGGGGGUAGAGCACUGUUUCGGCUAGGGGGCCAUCCCGGCUUACCAACCCGAUGCAAACUGCGAAUACCGGAGAAUGUUAUCACGGGAGACACACGGCGGGUGCUAACGUCCGUCGUGAAGAGGGAAACAACCCAGACCGCCAGCUAAGGUCCCAAAGUCAUGGUUAAGUGGGAAACGAUGUGGGAAGGCCCAGACAGCCAGGAUGUUGGCUUAGAAGCAGCCAUCAUUUAAAGAAAGCGUAAUAGCUCACUGGUCGAGUCGGCCUGCGCGGAAGAUGUAACGGGGCUAAACCAUGCACCGAAGCUGCGGCAGCGACGCUGAUGCGUUGUUGGGUAGGGGAGCGUUCUGUAAGCCUGUGAAGGUGGCCUGUGAGGGUUGCUGGAGGUAUCAGAAGUGCGAAUGCUGACAUAAGUAACGAUAAAGCGGGUGAAAAGCCCGCUCGCCGGAAGACCAAGGGUUCCUGUCCAACGUUAAUCGGGGCAGGGUGAGUCGACCCCUAAGGCGAGGCCGAAAGGCGUAGUCGAUGGGAAACGGGUUAAUAUUCCCGUACUUGGUGUUACUGCGAAGGGGGGACGGAGAAGGCUAUGUUGGCCGGGCGACGGUUGUCCCGGUUUAAGCGUGUAGGUGUGUGUUCCAGGUAAAUCCGGUUCACUUUAACACUGAGGCGUGACGACGAGGCACUACGGUGCUGAAGCAACAAAUGCCCUGCUUCCAGGAAAAGCCUCUAAGCAUCAGGUAACAUCAAAUCGUACCCCAAACCGACACAGGUGGUCAGGUAGAGAAUACCAAGGCGCUUGAGAGAACUCGGGUGAAGGAACUAGGCAAAAUGGUGCCGUAACUUCGGGAGAAGGCACGCUGACACGUAGGUGAAGUGAUUUACUCAUGGAGCUGAAGUCAGUCGAAGAUACCAGCUGGCUGCAACUGUUUAUUAAAAACACAGCACUGUGCAAACACGAAAGUGGACGUAUACGGUGUGACGCCUGCCCGGUGCCGGAAGGUUAAUUGAUGGGGUCAGCGCAAGCGAAGCUCCUGAUCGAAGCCCCGGUAAACGGCGGCCGUAACUAUAACGGUCCUAAGGUAGCGAAAUUCCUUGUCGGGUAAGUUCCGACCUGCACGAAUGGCGUAAUGAUGGCCAGGCUGUCUCCACCCGAGACUCAGUGAAAUUGAACUCGCUGUGAAGAUGCAGUGUACCCGCGGCAAGACGGAAAGACCCCGUGAACCUUUACUAUAGCUUGACACUGAACAUUGAGCCUUGAUGUGUAGGAUAGGUGGGAGGCUUUGAAGUGUGGACGCCAGUCUGCAUGGAGCCGACCUUGAAAUACCACCCUUUAAUGUUUGAUGUUCUAACGUGGACCCGUGAUCCGGGUUGCGGACAGUGUCUGGUGGGUAGUUUGACUGGGGCGGUCUCCUCCUAAAGAGUAACGGAGGAGCACGAAGGUUGGCUAAUCCUGGUCGGACAUCAGGAGGUUAGUGCAAUGGCAUAAGCCAGCUUGACUGCGAGCGUGACGGCGCGAGCAGGUGCGAAAGCAGGUCAUAGUGAUCCGGUGGUUCUGAAUGGAAGGGCCAUCGCUCAACGGAUAAAAGGUACUCCGGGGAUAACAGGCUGAUACCGCCCAAGAGUUCAUAUCGACGGCGGUGUUUGGCACCUCGAUGUCGGCUCAUCACAUCCUGGGGCUGAAGUAGGUCCCAAGGGUAUGGCUGUUCGCCAUUUAAAGUGGUACGCGAGCUGGGUUUAGAACGUCGUGAGACAGUUCGGUCCCUAUCUGCCGUGGGCGCUGGAGAACUGAGGGGGGCUGCUCCUAGUACGAGAGGACCGGAGUGGACGCAUCACUGGUGUUCGGGUUGUCAUGCCAAUGGCACUGCCCGGUAGCUAAAUGCGGAAGAGAUAAGUGCUGAAAGCAUCUAAGCACGAAACUUGCCCCGAGAUGAGUUCUCCCUGAGACUUAGAGUCUCCUGAAGGAACGUUGAAGACGACGACGUUGAUAGGCCGGGUGUGUAAGCGCAGCGAUGCGUUGAGCUAACCGGUACUAAUGAACCGUGAGGCUUAACCUU